rnacentral:rRNA from 1 species
AGAGUUUGAUCCUGGCUCAGAUUGAACGCUGAUGCUUUACACUGCAAGUCGAACGGUAACAGGCCUUCGGGCGCUGACGAGUGGCGAACGGGUGAGUAAUGCAUCGGAACGUGCCCAGAGGUGGGGGAUAACGCAGCGAAAGCUGUGCUAAUACCGCAUAUUAUCUGAGGGUGAAAGCGGGGGACUAAGCAGCAAUGUUUGGCCUCGCGCCUUUGGAGCGGCCGAUGUCAGAUUAGGUAGUUGGUGGGGUAAAGGCCUACCAAGCCGACGAUCUGUAGCUGGUCUGAGAGGACGACCAGCCACACUGGGACUGACACGGCCCAGACUCCUACGGGAGGCAGCAGUGGGGAAUUUUGGACAAUGGGCGCAAGCCUGAUCCAGCAAUGCCGCGUGCAGGAAGAAGGCCUUCGGGUUGUAAACUGCUUUUGUACGGAACGAAAAGGCUCUGGUUAAUACCUGGGGCUCAUGACGGUACCGUAAGAAUAAGCACCGGCUAACUACGUGCCAGCAGCCGCGGUAAUACGUAGGGUGCAAGCGUUAAUCGGAAUUACUGGGCGUAAAGCGUGCGCAGGCGGUGAUGUAAGACAGGCGUGAAAUCCCCGGGCUCAACCUGGGAAUGGCGCUUGUGACUGCAUCGCUGGAGUGCGGCAGAGGGGGAUGGAAUUCCGCGUGUAGCAGUGAAAUGCGUAGAUAUGCGGAGGAACACCGAUGGCGAAGGCAAUCCCCUGGGGCCUGCACUGACGCUCAUGCACGAAAGCGUGGGGGAGCAAACAGGAUUAGAUACCCUGGUAGUCCACGCCCUAAACGAUGUCAACUGGUUGUUGGGUCUUAGCUGACUCAGUAACGAAGCUAACGCGUGAAGUUGACCGCCUGGGGAGUACGGCCGCAAGGUUGAAACUCAAAGGAAUUGACGGGGACCCGCACAGCGGUGGAUGAUGUGGUUUAUUCGAUGCACGCGAAAA